rnacentral:tRNA from 1 species
GGCCCCAUCGUCUAGCGGUCUAGGACGCCAGGUUUUCAUCCUGGUAACCCGGGUUCGAGUCCCGGUGGGGUCACCA